GCCCGCAACCACGUCUCCAGCGAGGGCCCCACCCCACUUGAAAGCUUUCCCGAGAGAGGCGGGUCCGAGCCCGGAAGGCGUGCCGUGGGCCCGCGCGUGCGCGAAGCGGCUUUCCACGCUCUCCCGUGGCUGUCGGGGCCCCGUGAGCGGUGCGGGGAGACGCGGACCCGCCCACUUGUGGCUGUGGAAGCAGGGUGCCUGGGGCGCGGACAGGAUUAACAAAAUAUCUUUUAGGGGAAAAGAAACCCUUUGGACGACGCCGGGUCCUCGGAAGCUGUGCGGUGUCCACUUACUGGACCAAAUAGCAAAGUUGCUCCCUUCUGCGCUGACACAGAAGUCUAGGUACUGUACAUUCACUAAGGCUCCUUGUUUUUGCAAAUCGCGUUUAUGACAACCAUAAGGCAAACGAAUCUAAAGGAAUGGUUAUGAGUGUUUCCAGCGAACAGACGGCUCUCCCCUCGCCCAGCAGGGCAACUCACUCCAGUAGCACCCUCGGGAACUUUGUGAAGUUGGGGGCUCUAGAAAGAUGAUAUUUUCUAGAGAUGUGAAGAGGAAAAGAGGAAGAAAGGAAGUCAUUUGGCUAGUGGUCAGGUGGAAAAAGAUGAAAUAAACGAGAAAACUGAA